CUCAGGACUGGAUGUAAACUCAGUGGUUUCCUGUUCAUACAGAUGUAAAUAGUUCACUUGGUGUUGAAGUUAAAGAGGAUCAGAAGCUCAUCCGUUCAGCUUCCACACAUCAUGUUUUCUGUCACUCUGCUGCUGCUGUUGGCAGCUGGAUCCUACGUGAGGUGUGAAACACUGACACAGCCAGCUUCCAUAACUGUACAACCAGGUCAACGUCUGACCAUCACCUGCCAGGUUUCUUAUUCUCUGAGCAGCUACUUUACAGCUUGGAUCAGACAGCCUGCAGGGAAAGGACUGGAGUUUAUCAGUUUGGAUGCAGAUGUCAAAAACACUUUAAAGAACAAGUUUAGUGUCAACUUGGAUUCUUCCAGUAACACAGUCACUCUGAAUGGACAGAAUAUGCAGCCUGAAGACACGGCUGUGUAUUACUGUGCGAGAGCCACAGUAACACAAACCAUCAGCAGAGCUGAACAAAAACCUCUCAGAGCCUGAAAACUUUAACAUGAAGCCACCAGAGGAGGAGCUCUGAGCCCACUAAUGGUUACAAGACAGGUUCACUGUUGAAGAGACAUGUGUA